UACGUAGGGGGCUAGCGUUGUCCGGAAUCAUUGGGCGUAAAGAGCGUGUAGGCGGCCAAACAGGUCCGUUGUGAAAACUGGAGGCUCAACCUCCAGACGUCGACGGAAACCGUAUGGCUAGAGUCCGGAAGAGGAGAGUGGAAUUCCUGGUGUAGCGGUGAAAUGCGCAGAUAUCAGGAAGAACACCUAUGGCGAAGGCAGCUCUCUGGGACGGUACUGACGCUGAGACGCGAAAGCGUGGGGAGCGAACAGG
rnacentral:rRNA from 1 species